rnacentral:misc_RNA from 1 species
GAUGAAGAACGCAGCGAAAUGCGAUACGUAAUGUGAAUUGCAAAUUCAGUGAAUCAUCGAGUCUUUGAACGCACAUUGCGCCCCCUGGUAUUCCGGGGGGCAUGCCUGUCCGAGCGUCAUUGCUGCCCUCAAGCACGGCUUGUGUGUUGGCCCCGUCCUCCGAUCCCGGGGGACGGGCCCGAAAGGCAGCGGCGGCACCGCGUCCGGUCCUCGAGCGUAUGGGGCUUUGUCACCCGCUCUGUAGGCCCGGCCGGCGCUUGCCGAUCAACCCAAAUUUUUUAUCCAGGUUGACCUCGGAUCAGGUAGGGAUACCCGCUGAACUUAAGCAUAUCAAUAAGCGGAGGA